rnacentral:snRNA from 8 species
AUCGCUUCUCGGCCUUUUGGCUCAGAUCAAGAGUAGUAUCUGUUCUUAUCAGUUUAAUAUCUGAUACGUCCCCCUUCGGGGGACUACAUAUUAAAUGGAUUUUUCGAACAGGGAGUCGGAAAUGGGGCUUGCUCCGUCCGCUCCACGCAUCGACCCGGUAUUGCAGUACCUCCGGGAACGGUGCAACACUU